GAUGAACGCUGGCGGCGUGCUUAACACAUGCAAGUCGAACGGAAAGGCCCUGCUUUUGUGGGGUGCUCGAGUGGCGAACGGGUGAGUAACACGUGAGUAACCUGCACUUGACUUUGGGAUAACUUCAGGAAACUGGGGCUAAUACCGGAUAGGAGCUCCUGCUGCAUGGUGGGGGUUGGAAAGUUUCGGCGGUUGGGGAUGGACUCGCGGCUUAUCAGCUUGUUGGUGGGGUAGUGGCUUACCAAGGCUUUGACGGGUAGCCGGCCUGAGAGGGUGACCGGGCACAUGGGGACUGAGAUACGGACCAGAAGGCUACGGGCGGCAGCGGUCGAGAGUAUGGCACAAUGGGCGGAAGCCUGAGACGGCAACGCCGGGAUCGGGAUGACGGCCUACUAGUUAUGAACAGCUGUCGCCGGAGACGAGGCGUGAGUGACGGUAAUGGGUAAGGAAGCACCGGCUAACUACGUG
rnacentral:rRNA from 1 species